GACGAACGCUGGCGGCGUGCCUAACACAUGCAAGUCGAGCGGAGGUAGUUUGAUGGUAACUGAUGACUACUUUAGCGGCGGACGGGUGAGUAACACGUGGGCAACCUGCCUCAAAGAGGGGGAUAACACCGAGAAAUCGGUGCUAAUACCGCAUGAUAUUAAUGAAUGGCAUCAUUCUUUAAUCAAAGGAGAAAUCCGCUUUAAGAUGGGCUCGCGUCCGAUUAGGUAGUUGGUGAGGUAAUGGCCCACCAAGCCUACGAUCGGUAGCCGAACUGAGAGGUUGAUCGGCCACAUUGGGACUGAGAUACGGCCCAGACUCC
rnacentral:rRNA from 1 species